rnacentral:rRNA from 1 species
CCUACGGGUGGCAGCAGUGGGGAAUAUUGCACAAUGGGGGAAACCCUGAUGCAGCGACGCCGCGUGAGUGAAGAAGUAAUUCGUUAUGUAAAGCUCUAUCAGCAGGGAAGAAAAUGACGGUACCUGAGUACGAAGCCCCGGCUAACUCCGGGCCAGCAGCCGCGGUAAUACGUAGGGGGCAAGCGUGAUCCGGAUUUACUGGGUGUAAAGGGAGCGUAGACGGCAGUGCAAGUCUGGAGUGAAAGGCGGGGGCUCAACCCCCGGACUGCUCUGGAAACUGUACGGCUGGAGUGCGGGAGAGGUAAGUGGAAUUCGUAGUGUAGCGGUGAAAUGCGUAGAUAUUAGGAGGAACACCAGUGGCGAAGGCGGCUUGCUGGACUGUAACUGACGUUGAGGCUCGAAAGCGUGGGGAGCAAACAGGAUUAGAUACCCGGGUAGUC